UACGUAGGCAGCGAGCGUUGUUCGGAAUUACUGGGCGUAAAGAGUGUGUAGGCGGUGCUCUAAGUUCGGUGUGAAAGCCCCGGGCUUAACCUGGGAAUGGCAUUGGAAACUGGCUCGCUGGAGUGUGGCAGAGGGGGGUGGAAUUCCGCGUGUAGCAGUGAAAUGCGUAGAGAUGCGGAGGAACACCGAUGGCGAAGGCAGCCCCCUGGGCUAACACUGACGCUCAGGCACGAAAGCGUGGGGAGCAAACAGG
rnacentral:rRNA from 1 species